GUAAACCCAAGGUUUCCAGGGGAAGGUUCGUCCGCCCUGGGUUAGUCGGGACCUAAGCUGAGGCCGAAAGGCGUAGGUGAUGGACAACAGGUUGAUAUUCCUGUACUACCGAUAACCGUUUGAGAGAAGGGAUGACACAGUAGGAUAAGCUAAGCACACUGUUGGUUAUGUGUGCCCAAGCAUUGAGGCAGUCAAAGUAGGCAAAUCCGCUUUGAUAAUGCUGGGAUGUGAUGGGGAGCGAAAUUUAGUAGCGAAGUAGCUGAUUUCACACUGUCAAGAAAAGUCUCUAUCGAGGUUAAAGGUACCCGUACCGCAAACCGACACAGGUGGGUGAGGAGAGUAUCCUAAGGCCAGCGAGAGAACUGUUGUUAAGGAACUCGGCAAAAUGACCCCGUAACUUAGGGAUAAGGGGUGCCACCAUCAGGUGGCCGCAGAGAAUAGGCCCAAGCGACUGUUUACCAAAAACAUAGGUUUCUGCUAAGUCGCAAGACGAUGUAUAGGAGCUGACGCCUGCCCGGUGCUGGAAGGUUAAGGGGAUCUGUUAGAGCAA
rnacentral:rRNA from 1 species